GCGGGUGGCGAUGAGCUGGCGCUUGUGCACUUCGGAUGUGUGUGUCCCUGAUGGCCACAGUUAACAGGAUGAGAACCAGGUCUGGAACCGAGGCGCAGGGGCAGCCACAGGCUGUGGGCCGGCAAGGAUCAGUGAUAGGUGAGAGGGUGACGGAGCAGUGGCUUCCUCCAAGACCUUGGGGUUCAUACUGGGGAGGCCCGAAUUCGACUCUGGAUGCAGGAACUGUCCUUUAGAGAGCAACACAGGCUACAGGAGAAAAGUCUCAGGUGCAUCUACAGCAGAAGAACCAACCAUGGGGCAGAUGCGACCCUGGGGGCCUCGUGCACAAGAGAGAACAGAGAAACAGUGGCUCCUCUCUCUCCCUCUUUCUCUCUUUGUUUUUUGACCACCGACUUUAGGCAGGCAUUGAAGAGGUAAAAUUAUAGUGUCAUCAACUGCAGAUAUCCAGCCUGUGGGCACAGAGCAAAUGAUAUGCUCUAUGCAUGUGCAAUUAGAGGGAGUGCGGUUUCUCCCUGUCCCCCCACCCCCACCCAGGACAGCCAGAGCCUCAUGUCUGCUGGGGAUGGUGCACAGCAUCCUGAUACCAGGAGCAAAGCAUGCUGUGUGUGGACACGCCAGAGCCUGUUCUUUACCGACCAUGUGGUGAGGGGACACGUGGGGAUUGUUUCUGUUCUCCAGGGGCAGGACAGACAGUGGUUUGUGGCCUGGGAAGGGACAUCACAGGGACACCAUCUUUGAUCUGGAGUCUCCUGCAGGGAAAGAACAGAAUUUGUUCUACGCCGGGCACACGAGGGAAGUGCUGGUUCCAGGCCCAGCAGGGCCCCACCUGCACCUGGGAGCCUCUGGCAAUCCCACCCUCAACCUCGGGCCUUUGUGGGAGAUGCCAGCCCCACCUUGUUCAGAAUCCAGGUUCGGACAGGAGGAAGCCCCUUCUUUGCCCGGAUCAUGGGGAUGAUUCUCUGGGUGCAAUGCUACAGGCUCGUGGCAGUGGGGACUGUUUACUUUUAACCUCUCUUAGAUGUAGAGAAACGUUGUUUGGUGGUUUCAUUUUUUGAAAAUGACAGCAUACCUUAGAAUCACCUUGAAAUGCACUGUGCCAUCCGAGCUGUUAUGAGGAGCUUAAACUGUUGGGGGCCAGCGAAGCGUGCUUGUUUCCAAGCCCAGAAAUCACUCGAAGGCAGAGAAUCAACUCCUCGGAAGCCACACUGUACAGGGCUGCGAUGGUAAUAUAUAAACCACUGAAGUAAAGUUCAAGUGGUGUGUAAAUGUCAUCAGGUCCGUGAUAUUAAAAAUGCCAUUCUGUGGCAUGUGCAGUUUGGGUGGAGUUCAUGAUUAUUAAAUCUUGGAAAGCACCAGUCAACACAUUCAGAAAGUCAUAAUCCUGUGUGGGUCCUGCCGAUGCAUUACCCAGGCCACCCCUGCCCUCCAGGGUCCAUGAACAAAGGCCUUGCUGGACACCCAUAGCCAACUGUGGCUCUGGGGAGAAGGGGAGAUGCCAGGGGAUGGGAAGCCAGGUGUACCCAGGGACUUACAGGGGCUCCCCUCGAGCCGGACAUACCCCAAAGUCCCUUCAGCUCCUGUUAGCACCCUGUCUGUCCCUCAAGAUGCUUACCUGGAGGGCCAAGUCCAGCUUCUCCGUGCUCCCCACAGCCCAGCAGCACAGCACUCUGUGAUGCCACCCCCAAGCCAGCCCCUGGUUAUGUUUCAAGCCACCCAUUUGUUAUUUUUGUAUAAAUAGAACUGACUCAUUCAUUUCACUUUAAUUUGACAGGCGUUUAUUGAGGACUGGCUAUUUUGGGAGCUGUGUUUGGCCAUUGUCACCUAUUUAUUUCCAAGUGGAAAGUCAGUAAUGAGAUGGAAACCAGACUUUGCAGAUUGGAAUCUAAUGCUUCUGAUUUUCACAGGGGAACGCAGCCACGUGGAGCCCAACAAGGAACACAGGCACAAACUGUUCAUGUCACACCCACCCGUGCAAACCGCGGAGGAAGGCCAGGUGCACCCUGCCCUCAGGUAGCUCACCAGGUAAGGGAAGGCGGAAACGCCCAUCGUCAGUCAUUGGGGGCUUCAGAGAAGGAGUCUGGCUUUGGCCCAACCACCCUGCACCUCAUCACUACACCUGGAUGCCCAGCAAGUCCCACACCCAUGAGAGCCUGGCUCUCAAGGGGCCUGCUCUGGUCACCCACAGGAGCUGGCUCUGUAGAUUUGUAGCACGUGUUUGAUGUUUUUAUUAAUUCUUAAAAAUGAUUUGCAAGCAUAACUCAGACACAGUGAGAAACGUGGGGAGUUGAGGAGGCAUGGAGCUCCUCGCUGCGGGUGGGAGUGGGUUCACAGGGGUCACCCAUCUCAGAGCCCCCCCUCUCCCAUCCCCCCAGAUCUCAGUGGCUGAGCACUGGCCCCGUCAAGGUGUUCAUCCAGCAGGCUCAGCCCAUUGUCCUAAUAAGCUGUGAUGCCACGGUCCUGGGAGGGGACAUUCACAGCAGAGCCCUGGCCAUGAAACCAGGGACGGGCUCAGACUUGCACCAGCUGGCGUGGCUGAGCUCUUCUGUUGGGUGCGCCCUGACCCGAGGACCACGAUUCUAAGUCUCUGGGAAGGUUUGGUGCAAGCCAUUCUGUGGAGGUGAGAGGGACGGAUUCCUUCUGACAUCCUUGCCUGGCCCGGCCACCUCCCAGGUCACCCUUCCCAGCGGCUGCAGUCUGGAGUGUCUGCAAGGUAGGAACCUGGGCGCCGCUCUGCUUCUCGUGGUUUCCACUGGGCAUUUCCCCAGGACUCGGACUUGCUCCUCUGGGUUUUCCCAGCACAAAGCUGGUGCCAGUGGAGCGGCCGAGGACAGCACACCGGGGCAGAACUGCUGCCGGCUCAGAAUGGGUGCCACGGCCCAAGACGUUCACGGACCUUAUUUCUAGUUGCAACCUGAAUCUCAUUAUGGUCUUUCUGACGUCAGCAAUAAACAACAAUAAGAUUGUAAACUGUUGGUCUUUAUAAUAAAAUUAUGUUUCUUGGAUGUA